UGCUGCACACCCGGACGCUCUCAAAUAGAGGACCGUGUAAAUGCCAAGUCCAAGCCUGCGGUCAUUCGUAGAAAGCUAAUGACAUCUUCCACGUGGCCCCUGAGAAGGGCUGUGUGUGAAAUGCUAAGGAGCAAGGGACAUCAGGCAGUGCAAAGACCGGCUGCUGGAGUCUCAGAAAGGAGCCCUCAGGAAAGCCAGCCACCUCAGGACUGGGAGAACCAAUGCUUAUUUUCACGGCUGGGUCUUUGGGUGGCGGUAAACAUCCAAGGAAAUCAAGAGGAGAGUGAAAAGAGUUCCUGAGGAAAAAAGAGGAUAGAGACUCCUUGAGAUGUCAGAAGAAACUUCCAGAAUGAAGACCUUUUGGAUAUUGAAA